GUGGGGAAUUUUGGACAAUGGGCGCAAGCCUGAUCCAGCAAUGCCGCGUGCAGGAUGAAGGCCUUCGGGUUGUAAACUGCUUUUGUACGGAACGAAAAGCCCUGGGUUAAUACCCUGGGGUCAUGACGGUACCGUAAGAAUAAGCACCGGCUAACUACGUGCCAGCAGCCGCGGUAAUACGUAGGGUGCAAGCGUUAAUCGGAAUUACUGGGCGUAAAGCGUGCGCAGGCGGUUUUGUAAGACAGUGGUGAAAUCCCCGGGCUCAACCUGGGAACUGCCAUUGUGACUGCAAGGCUAGAGUGCGGCAGAGGGGGAUGGAAUUCCGCGUGUAGCAGUGAAAUGCGUAGAUAUGCGGAGGAACACCGAUGGCGAAGGCAAUCCCCUGGGCCUGCACUGACGCUCAUGCACGAAAGCGUGGGGAGCAAACAGGAUUAGAUACCCGGGUAGUCC
rnacentral:rRNA from 1 species